GCUAGUAAUCGCGAAUCAGAAUGUCGCGGUGAAUACGUUCCCGGGCCUUGUACACACCGCCCGUCACACCAUGAGAGUCGAUAACACCCGAAGCCUGUGAGCUAACCUUUUAGGAGGCAGCAGUCGAAGGUGGGGUUGAUGAUUGGGGUGAAGUCGUAACAAGGUAAC
rnacentral:rRNA from 1 species